rnacentral:lncRNA from 1 species
UGACAAGAAAUAAUUGGCUUGUGAGAAUCAACAUUGAAGCUGGAAAAAUGAUGGCAUCCGAACAAGUAGACACAGCCCUAGUCAAGGCAAUAAACUACACUAAAGACAGAGGAGAAAGACUCAAAGUUGUUCUAACAUGGGUUCUCCAACUUCUGAAAUCCAUCCAGAAACUCCCUGUAUUUGGUUAUUCACAUCACUCCAGCUGACAGCCAACCAACAAACAGCCAGACACGUGAGCCCAACCAAGAUCAGAAGAACUGUCCCACUGAGCAUAGUCUAAAUUGCUAACAUGCAAAUGCAUGAAACAGACCACAGCAAGGUAAUCUUACAGCCCAGGACUCAGCUGCUGCAAUCUCUGUGAAAGGUACUUAUGACUAAUGCUGAUGCCACCAUGAAGCUCAGGAAACAAUUUACAGGGACAUGGGCUGUUCUGAGACCCCACAGCCAUGAAUCGCCUAAUCAUUCUGACAGAUUUCUGCAGAUGCUGUGCUCAGGUCACUGAGUUUCCCAGUUGUCAGUGGUGAACUGGAGCGGAGGCAGAAGGAAACUCUUCAGACACACUGUUCCCUUCAGGAAACAAGGGACAAAAGGGCUGCCCUGAGGAGACUUGGGAAAGUGACAUUUCCUCAGGCUCGAGGACAUCCCGAGGUUCUGCUCAUGAAACAGAGACAACCAUGUGUGGUGCCUGCAUUCUUGGCCUGCGGGGAGUGGAAAGGAGACAAAGAGUAAAACACGGUGGGAAAGAAGAAAAAGAGGUUAAGAAAAGCAAAUGUGCCUACUCCAGGUAAUUUUGACUUAGGGACCCUGAUUAACUUACACACUAAUUAAACCAUUUCCAGAUUUUGUGCAGUCUGAAAGCAGCCCAUUUUCCCCAACACCAGGUCGCUCAAGAUGACCACAGGAAGGUUGUCAUCUUCAUGUCUAAAAGCCAGUUGACACUCAAGGGUGUCAUUUCACUUCAGUGAAAUGAGAAGCUUCACAGAUGUGUAGACUCUGAAAAAUCUAACUGGAAAACAAUACAGGGAAAUAGCAAUACUAGGCAUCAAAGCAGCAAAAAAACUACUCAAUUAUCUGAUAUGGGGAUUAUCAAUGGAAUAAAUGUGGGGUUUGUUGUUUGUUGUUGGGAUUGUUGUGGGUUUUGUUUCAUUUUUUAGGGUCUCACUUUUCUCCACCAAUUAGAUCUGUGCUGUGAGCCACACAGGUUUUGAGUACAUGUUUUGGGACUUUAUAUCGGUCAGACUUUGCCAUGGUAACACUGUGUAACGAGCAGCCCCAAAAAUCUCAGUGGUGGUCAAAAGCAAACCUUUAUUUCUCAUUCAUGGGUUUUCAGUUUGUUCAGGCUAAAAGUAAAAUACACAGAUUCUUCACCUGUCUUUCAUUCCAUGCUGAAGGAGCAAUUGACUGCCUGGGACAUACUUUUCUCAUAACAGAGGCAAGGGUGAAAAACACCAAGUCAUCUUGAUUAUGCAAUCCCAUUUUUAAUGUAAACAAUGUCAUGUCUGCUUCUAUUUCAUUGAGCAAAGCAAGUCAUAUAGGCAAGCCCAACAUCAGUGGGGUGAUAAAGCACACUCUCCAAUGGAAGGAGGAGGGGAGCAUGAUCAUUUGCUGAACAGUAAUGCAAGAUAGCACAAGACUUGUCUGGGGUGAGAGAGAGAUCAAAGCUGUGGAUCCCACCCAGUCUUCAACCAAAGCAAUGUGGCUUUGACCUGUUUUCUGUCUUGGACUUGAAUAAUACUUUAUUUGAAAGAAGUGUUAAAUUGUUUAUUAAAAAAAAAGACAAGUUUGAAAACCACUGUUUCCAAGUCGCUUAUUUUGCCAAUAAAGAAUCUGGGGUCAAAGGGUAAAUGCCUUGCUGAUUGUAUCUGUCUCAGGACCAGGGCUAUGAGAUUUAAAGUCAACCAGAUCUGGAUUUUCAAACCUAGCUCUACCAUGUUUUAGCGGAGACACUCUGGACAUGUUCACUAUCCUUUCAUCAUCACAGGCAAGGGUCUGUCCAGUGCCCUAAGUCCUAGGGCUCUCCAGUUGCUAACCACACUGAAGGGAUGAAAUGUAUGAGUGGGCCCUCCACUGGUGUGAUCUGUAAUCAGAAUGGGAAAGACUCUCUUUGCUCCACCAUGUCCGUGGGAUGAGAUGGAAAAGUGCACCAUUCCUGGUGGUGAUGCUUCUAUUUAAAAUACUGCUAAACUGAGUUUCCUUCCUUGCUCUUCUCUCUCCCUUUCUUUGACAAACCUAUGCAUGACUCGAGUAUACAGCUAUCUCCCCUAGUGGAGCACAGGCUUUUUGGAGGAUAAGGGUCACUCUUUCCAUGUUUAUUUCUUCCCACGCCUACACCUCACACCUCAUUCCAACUCCACAGCACAAUAACCAUCCUAUCUUCACAGCAGCAGAGAUUAUGUAAAUGGUUAUAAAUUAAAUAAUA